GUGACUAACGCCAGUCUCACACUCAAACUUUUGGCUGACUCUGACCAGUGCAGCUUUGGUGCUCUCCAGCAGGAGGUGGAUGUCCUUGAGAGUCAACUAAGUGAAUGUGAGAGAGAAAAGGAGAAAGAAUAGGCCUUUGGACACCCUGGACCACCCCUCCCCCCGCUUCUUGUGCCCAUGGAGGCCUCCAGGAAGUUAGCAAAUCCCUUGUGGUGCAGCUCACUCGGAGAGGCUUCUCAUAUAAGGCAGGUCCCUGGGGCCGAGACUCAGCACCCAAUCCAGCCUCUUCCCUUUACUGGGUUGCUCCUCUACGUACAGAUGGCAGGUACUUUGACUACUAUCGGCUGUGCAAAUCCUAUAAUGACCUCGCACUGCUGAAAAACUAUGAAGAGAGGAAGAUGGGCUAUGGUGAUGGCAGUGGAAACGUUGUGUACAAGAACUUUAUGUACUUUAACUACUGUGGCACAAGUGACAUGGCCAAAAUGGACCUUUCCUCCAACACACUGGUGCUGUGGCGUCUGCUGCCUGGUGCCACCUAUAACAACCGCUUUUCCUAUGCUGGUGUGCCCUGGAAGGACUUAGAUUUUGCUGGUGAUGAGAAGGGGCUGUGGGUUCUCUAUGCCACUGAGGAGAGCAAGGGCAACCUGGUUGUGAGUCGUCUCAACGCUAGCACCCUAGAAGUGGAGAAAACCUGGCGUACCAGCCAGUACAAGCCAGCCCUGUCAGGGGCCUUCAUGGCCUGUGGGGUGCUCUAUGCCUUACACUCACUGAACACCCACCAAGAGGAGAUCUUCUAUGCUUUUGACACCACCACCGGGCAGGAGCGCCGCCUCAGCAUCCUGUUGGACAAGAUGCUGGAAAAGCUGCAGGGCAUCAACUACUGCCCCUCAGACCACAAGCCGUAUGUCUUCAGUGAUGGUUACCUGAUAAAUUAUGACCUCACCUUCCUGACAAUGAAGACCAGGCUACCAAGACCACCCACCAGGAGGCCCUCUGGGGCUCAUGCUCCACCAAAACCUGUCAAACCUAACGAGGCUUCCAGACCCUGAGACCCCAGGGCUAGGCAGAGCAUUGGUAGAAGUGUGCCCUCUUCCUUACCUCCAGGAGGACCACAUCCCAAAGUGGCCAUUGGUCCUAAUGAUUGGAAGACUGAUUAUAUCUA